UGGAUCUAUUCUUUUUUUUUUUUUUGGUUUUUUUUUUUUUUUUUCUUAUUGAUUGUUCUUGCUUUUUCACACGGCUCCUUAAGGUGGUGGAUUUGUACCGAAAGGCCCAGGUGAGAUGUGCAAAUAUCACUGGAUUGGAGGAGCUCACUUGGAAAGGCAGUAUUUCUUUCUCUUGAGCUAAUGGGAAAAAAAGGCAUUCGUCUUACACCAAUAAGCAAUACCAACCUUGUUCACGGGCUGGGGAGACAGUUUUUUAUUAUUAAGGAAGUAGGAAGCUUGGUCCUGCACGGUGGCUCAUGCAUAAUCCCAGCACUUUGGGAGGCCAAGUUCCUGGGAUAAUAGUCACUAAGGAAGAGGGUAGAAACUAGAACUGAAUGAGAUGGACACAGAGAUCGCCAAGAGAAGCGUCAUCCUCUGCCAAGUCAUGGGGUCAUGCGUGGUGGAUGGUGACAUGGCAUCUUCAGCUCAGAGUCCAGCUGGGAGCUCAGAAGCAAGGUAACUGAAGGGAAGAGAAAUCUGAGCACCUAAUGUGUGUAAGAUGCUUCACAUUUAUUAUUUCACCUAACCUCUACACAACCUGAUGUGGGUAUUACUGCUGUCAAGGUGGGAUUCAAAGCAGGUUUUUUUCUAACCUCAUAAUUCUUGCCAGACUCGACUAGCCCU
rnacentral:lncRNA from 1 species